rnacentral:rRNA from 1 species
UACGUAGGGUGCGAGCGUUGUCCGGAAUUAUUGGGCGUAAAGGGCUCGUAGGCGGUUUGUCGCGUCGGGAGUGAAAACUCAGGGCUUAACCCUGAGCCUGCUUCCGAUACGGGCAGACUAGAGGUAUGCAGGGGAGAACGGAAUUCCUGGUGUAGCGGUGAAAUGCGCAGAUAUCAGGAGGAACACCGGUGGCGAAGGCGGCUCGCUGGGCCGGACCUGACGCUGAGGCGCGAAGGCGUGGGGAGCGAACGGG